UACGUAGGGUGCGAGCGUUAAUCGGAAUUACUGGGCGUAAAGGGCGCGUAGGCGGCUUUCUAAGUCAGACGUGAAAUCCCCCGGCUUAACCUGGGAACUGCGUCUGAUACUGGGAGGCUUGAAUGCGGGAGAGGGAUGUAGAAUUCCAGGUGUAGCGGUGAAAUGCGUAGAUAUCUGGAGGAAUACCGGUGGCGAAGGCGGCAUCCUGGACCGGUAUUGACGCUGAGGCGCGAAAGCCAGGGGAGCAAACGGG
rnacentral:rRNA from 1 species